AUUGAACGCUGGCGGAAGGCCUAACACAUGCAAGUCGAACGAGUGGCGGACGGGUGAGUAAUGUCUGGGAAACUGCCCGAGGGAGGGGGAUAACUACUGGAAACGGUAGCUAAUACAGCAUCCCAUCGGAUGUGACCCGAUGGGAUUGGCUAGUAGGUGGGGUAAAGGCGCAACUAGGCGACGCUCCCUAGCUGGUCUGAGAGGAUGACCAGCCACACUGGAACUGAGACACGGUCCAGACUCCUACGGGAGGCAGCAGUGGGGAAGAUUGCACAAUGGGCGCAAGCCUGAUGCAGUCAUGCCGCGUGUAUGAAGAAGGCCUGCGGGUUGUAAAGUACUUUCAGCGAGGAGGCGUUACUCGCAGAAGAAGCACCGGCUAACUCCGUGCCAGCAGCCGCGGUAAUUC
rnacentral:rRNA from 1 species